GGUACAUGAUCAAAUGCAACUUUACUUCAUUUCAGACCAAUGUGACGGUGGCAAUAUGUGCUGGUUAGGAAUAUAAGGAGUGUUUAUAGUGUUGUAUAAGUCAACACACGCUGAGAUAUACAACAUAAGUGGAUACUCAACCGAAAGGCGUAACGCAAAUUGUACUAAGGCAAAGCCAAUACUUUCUUAUAAUAACUUCGUCAUUGAAGUUGACGAAACCGUUGGAAAACUACCGACCUCAGACGUUGCACGGUUGUUCAGAUUCAGAAGGAGCAAAGAUACAGCGUAAAAAGUAUCGAUUAUUGUCAAAGUCUUUGUCAGACAAGACUAUUCGGAAUAAAGGCGAACAUCAAGCAAGAUAUAUUAAAUCCGUCAAUAAGUUAAAUCAAAAUAAUUGGGAACACACAGGUUACUGUCUUACAUACUACAACUAUGGAUUCCAGUGGCAAGCCUGUCACAGAUCAAACCCUAUCAAAACAAUGUGUAGAACAAGUUCAGAUCCAUCUGAAACCACUAUAUUCAUAGACGAUACGACAUACACAUGGAUACAGGGCAAUAUGGUAUGCUUUGACAUGAAAAGGAAUCCAGCGACCGUUGAAAGUAUAACAAAUACUACAUUUGUGACCUGCCACAAGAGUUCUACUGGACGCGAAUAGUCAGAGCAAGUACAAUACUCAGAGCGGACUGGAUUGAUCGAAAAAGCAACAACAACAAUAUGCUUACAUGUGCACAUUUAAAUCAAAGCACCUACAUUAGUGAUGUAACAUACGGAUAUUUAGUUAAAAAUACAGGAAAGUUGGAAUUCACAAUCAGUGGAACAAAAGUAGCUUUAUGCGCAUCAGGCCCAAGAGAUGAUAAAACAUCAGGUAAAGGCCAUACGACUAUUGUUUGUGCCACACAUUUUACUGAAGGUCCAACGACCAUGAGAGACGUCACCCAAUCAACAGAAAGUCAAGUUAUCAUAAAAGAUGCCAAAGAGACAACAGUCCGAUUUAUAGAGUUGUUGGCCAUAGUAAUAGGUAUUGGAACUGUGACAGUCCUGGGCGUCGUUGUUGUUGUCGUCAUUGUUGUCAGACAAAGAAAACGACAUCUUCAAUUAACGAACAACAAAAGCCCUGUGACGAUGAGUGCUUACAGUGAUUACAAAGCAAACUGUCAAGUAACUGUCGAAAAAGCUGUGCUCGACAAUAACUUUCACGUAAAUAGAAACUAAGCCUCUUAGAGAACGAACAUCUCGACCAUAAAAGUACAGCAAAUGAUCCAAAUGUAGACACUGUAGAUGCAGUCAUUUACCAUACUAUACAUGAUGUAUUAGAACCGCGUGGAAACGUCAGGGGCGACACCAAUGAUUACGAUUACACAACGACUAAUGUAGUACAAACUGAGAGGGAUCCGGACAAGGUAUAUGACAAGCUGCAUUUCGAACGCCAUGGUGAUUAUAACCAUGUAACGGGUCAUUGUCAGGUGCAUGACCCACCAACAAGCAAUCACUAUGACACGGCUUCAAUAAGCGUCAAACAAAAUGCAACACAAGCAAGCGUAAAUGACGAUUACGACCAUGUUGAAGGUAAGGGGCGUAUUCAUAUCGCAGCAACAAGCUACGUCUACGACAUGACUGACUCUGCAAUGACUGUCAGAGCUGGAUCUGCAUCAGCAAACGAUGACGAAGGUAAAUACAAUUACAUGUCCAAUCUACCUGGUCCUACCAAUGAAGAAAGUAAAGAUGCCACCGCUUGAAUACAUUACAGGGGGUUCAACGAUGUACGGGCAGUAUAGGUUAUUAGUCCUUAAUUCGCCCAUUUUUAAUAUCAGUGUGUAAUCCUCGUACUGUGAAAUUGUGCAUUUCAUGUUAUUGUAUUUUACAUUAAUAUGCUAUGAAUGAAUUAAAAAACAGGUAACACAAAACAUGCGUGUUCUUAAAACAAAAACGCAAUUAACCUCGGCGGCAUCAUGGAACAUGGAAUAUUAAACUUUAUAUUCGGUUGAUGUCUGAAGCUUUUAAAUCGAUGAUGAGAUGUGUUCGAUCUGUGUUUAAAUUAAUUUCAGUUAAUAAGUUAUAAUUAAACUUUUACAAUAUUAUAGUUCUAGUUUGCAAACAACCUUCGAGUAGUUCAACUUCACUAACAUUGAAACGCAUUUUAUUUAUUGGUAUUAAAACAUGAUAUACUUAAAAUAUAAUUUAUUUUCAUUGACAUUUUAAUCAGUAAAGUAAUGCAAAGUGUAAGGUUAAACGCUUGUUAAAAAUAGGUUUAAAACGCAUUGAUUUGCAUGUUUCAUUACCGAGCAUUUUUGAUAGUUGUUUUGUUUUGUAUAUGUGUAUGUGCCAUGUCUGGUACGUUUGUAUUGUCAAACUGUUUAACAAUUGGCCCUUUGCUAUAAUUAAGGGAUCAACUGCUAUGAUUAGGGCUCCUGAUGGAGCAGUUUACUAUGUUUAUAUAAGAUGGAUUUAAAUUUAUGGACGAAAUUUUUGGUUGGUAGGAAUUGUUUUUCAUGCGUGUGAUGCAUAUUAUAUGCAAAAGUAAAAACAGCUGUAAUUUCAUUUAUAUCAGUUGAUCUUCAUUGAUUUAAAAGUCGUUAGAUUGUCAAUGCUUGUAAAUAUGUUUGAAUGUAAAUAAACAAUA